rnacentral:rRNA from 1 species
GGUUAAGCGACUAAGCGUACACGGUGGAUGCCCUGGCAGUCAGAGGCGAUGAAGGACGUGCUAAUCUGCGAUAAGCGUCGGUAAGGUGAUAUGAACCGUUAUAACCGGCGAUUUCCGAAUGGGGAAACCCAGUGUGAUUCGUCACACUAUCAUUAACUGAAUCCAUAGGUUAAUGAGGCGAACCGGGGGAACUGAAACAUCUAAGUACCCCGAGGAAAAGAAAUCAACCGAGAUUCCCCCAGUAGCGGCGAGCGAACGGGGAGCAGCCCAGAGCCUGAAUCAGUAUGUGUGUUAGUGGAAGCGUCUGGAAAGGCGCGCGAUACAGGGUGACAGCCCCGUACACAAAAAUGCACAUGCUGUGAGCUCGAUGAGUAGGGCGGGACACGUGGUAUCCUGUCUGAAUAUGGGGGGACCAUCCUCCAAGGCUAAAUACUCCUGACUGACCGAUAGUGAACCAGUACCGUGAGGGAAAGGCGAAAAGAACCCCGGCGAGGGGAGUGAAAAAGAACCUGAAACCGUGUACGUACAAGCAGUGGGAGCACGCUUAGGCGUGUGACUGCGUACCUUUUGUAUAAUGGGUCAGCGACUUAUAUUCUGUAGCAAGGUUAACCGAAUAGGGGAGCCGAAGGGAAACCGAGUCUUAACUGGGCGUUAAGUUGCAGGGUAUAGACCCGAAACCCGGUGAUCUAGCCAUGGGCAGGUUGAAGGUUGGGUAACACUAACUGGAGGACCGAACCGACUAAUGUUGAAAAAUUAGCGGAUGACUUGUGGCUGGGGGUGAAAGGCCAAUCAAACCGGGAGAUAGCUGGUUCUCCCCGAAAGCUAUUUAGGUAGCGCCUCGUGAAUUCAUCUCCGGGGGUAGAGCACUGUUUCGGCAAGGGGGUCAUCCCGACUUACCAACCCGAUGCAAACUGCGAAUACCGGAGAAUGUUAUCACGGGAGACACACGGCGGGUGCUAACGUCCGUCGUGAAGAGGGAAACAACCCAGACCGCCAGCUAAGGUCCCAAAGUCAUGGUUAAGUGGGAAACGAUGUGGGAAGGCCCAGACAGCCAGGAUGUUGGCUUAGAAGCAGCCAUCAUUUAAAGAAAGCGUAAUAGCUCACUGGUCGAGUCGGCCUGCGCGGAAGAUGUAACGGGGCUAAACCAUGCACCGAAGCUGCGGCAGCGACACUAUGUGUUGUUGGGUAGGGGAGCGUUCUGUAAGCCUGUGAAGGUGUGCUGUGAGGCAUGCUGGAGGUAUCAGAAGUGCGAAUGCUGACAUAAGUAACGAUAAAGCGGGUGAAAAGCCCGCUCGCCGGAAGACCAAGGGUUCCUGUCCAACGUUAAUCGGGGCAGGGUGAGUCGACCCCUAAGGCGAGGCCGAAAGGCGUAGUCGAUGGGAAACAGGUUAAUAUUCCUGUACUUGGUGUUACUGCGAAGGGGGGACGGAGAAGGCUAUGUUGGCCGGGCGACGGUUGUCCCGGUUUAAGCGUGUAGGCUGGUUUUCCAGGCAAAUCCGGAAAAUCAAGGCUGAGGCGUGAUGACGAGGCACUACGGUGCUGAAGCAACAAAUGCCCUGCUUCCAGGAAAAGCCUCUAAGCAUCAGGUAACAUCAAAUCGUACCCCAAACCGACACAGGUGGUCAGGUAGAGAAUACCAAGGCGCUUGAGAGAACUCGGGUGAAGGAACUAGGCAAAAUGGUGCCGUAACUUCGGGAGAAGGCACGCUGAUAUGUAGGUGAAGCGACUUGCUCGUGGAGCUGAAAUCAGUCGAAGAUACCAGCUGGCUGCAACUGUUUAUUAAAAACACAGCACUGUGCAAACACGAAAGUGGACGUAUACGGUGUGACGCCUGCCCGGUGCCGGAAGGUUAAUUGAUGGGGUUAGCGCAAGCGAAGCUCUUGAUCGAAGCCCCGGUAAACGGCGGCCGUAACUAUAACGGUCCUAAGGUAGCGAAAUUCCUUGUCGGGUAAGUUCCGACCUGCACGAAUGGCGUAAUGAUGGCCAGGCUGUCUCCACCCGAGACUCAGUGAAAUUGAACUCGCUGUGAAGAUGCAGUGUACCCGCGGCAAGACGGAAAGACCCCGUGAACCUUUACUAUAGCUUGACACUGAACAUUGAGCCUUGAUGUGUAGGAUAGGUGGGAGGCUUUGAAGUGUGGACGCCAGUCUGCAUGGAGCCGACCUUGAAAUACCACCCUUUAAUGUUUGAUGUUCUAACGUUGACCCGUAAUCCGGGUUGCGGACAGUGUCUGGUGGGUAGUUUGACUGGGGCGGUCUCCUCCUAAAGAGUAACGGAGGAGCACGAAGGUUGGCUAAUCCUGGUCGGACAUCAGGAGGUUAGUGCAAUGGCAUAAGCCAGCUUGACUGCGAGCGUGACGGCGCGAGCAGGUGCGAAAGCAGGUCAUAGUGAUCCGGUGGUUCUGAAUGGAAGGGCCAUCGCUCAACGGAUAAAAGGUACUCCGGGGAUAACAGGCUGAUACCGCCCAAGAGUUCAUAUCGACGGCGGUGUUUGGCACCUCGAUGUCGGCUCAUCACAUCCUGGGGCUGAAGUAGGUCCCAAGGGUAUGGCUGUUCGCCAUUUAAAGUGGUACGCGAGCUGGGUUUAGAACGUCGUGAGACAGUUCGGUCCCUAUCUGCCGUGGGCGCUGGAGAACUGAGGGGGGCUGCUCCUAGUACGAGAGGACCGGAGUGGACGCAUCACUGGUGUUCGGGUUGUCAUGCCAAUGGCACUGCCCGGUAGCUAAAUGCGGAAGAGAUAAGUGCUGAAAGCAUCUAAGCACGAAACUUGCCCCGAGAUGAGUUCUCCCUGACUCCUUGAGAGUCCUGAAGGAACGUUGAAGACGACGACGUUGAUAGGCCGGGUGUGUAAGCGCAGCGAUGCGUUGAGCUAACCGGUACUAAUGAACCGUGAGGCUUAACCUU